AGCCUACGGGAGGCAGCAGUGGGGAAUAUUGGACAAUGGGGGGAACCCUGAUCCAGCGACGCCGCGUGAGUGAAGAAGUAUUUCGGUAUGUAAAGCUCUAUCAGCAGGGAAGAAAGAAAUGACGGUACCUGACUAAGAAGCCCCGGCUAACUACGUGCCAGCAGCCGCGGUAAUACGUAGGGGGCAAGCGUUAUCCGGAUUUACUGGGUGUAAAGGGAGCGUAGACGGUUACGCAAGUCUGGAGUGAAAUCCCAUGGCUUAACCAUGGAACUGCUUUGGAAACUGUACAGCUAGAGUGCAGGAGG
rnacentral:rRNA from 1 species